UCCAUCGCGAGGUGGAAUCUGAAGGAAGCCGGAUGUGGGAACAUACUAACCCAUGGGCAAAUCGCUGGUCUGACGGACAGAAAUUACAUAAGGCCAUACAUGAGGAUAAGACUGCGGCACAAGCCAAAGCCCAAUAACUAUACGGAAUCAUGUAUGGUAAAUGUGGCAGAUGGAUGGAGAGAAAGAAACGUGU
rnacentral:ncRNA from 1 species